rnacentral:rRNA from 1 species
AGUGAACGCUGGCGGUAGGCCUAACACAUGCAAGUCGAACGGCAGCACAGUAAGAGCUUGCUCUUACGGGUGGCGAGUGGCGGACGGGUGAGGAAUACAUCGGAAUCUACUUUUUCGUGGGGGAUAACGUAGGGAAACUUACGCUAAUACCGCAUACGACCUACGGGUGAAAGCAGGGGAUCUUCGGACCUUGCGCGAUUGAAUGAGCCGAUGUCGGAUUAGCUAGUUGGCGGGGUAAAGGCCCACCAAGGCGACGAUCCGUAGCUGGUCUGAGAGGAUGAUCAGCCAAACUGGAACUGAGACACGGUCCAGACUCCUACGGGAGGCAGCAGUGGGAAAUAUUGGACAAUGGGCGCAAGCCUGAUCCAGCCAUACCGCGUGGGUGAAGAAGGCCUUCGGGUUGUAAAGCCCUUUUGUUGGGAAAGAAAAGCAGCAGGUUAAUACCCCGCUGUUCUGACGGGACCCAAAGAAUAAGCACCGGCUAACUUCGU